UCAAUGAAUGCAAACACUACAAAUGGGAAAGCUGGAAAUAACAAGAAAACAAACUCUUCCCUAGAGCCACCUUGAUUUGGACUUCUGACCCCCAGAACUCUGGAAAUUACCUAUGGGAGCUGAGUCACCUCCUGUUCCCUGAGACUGCUGGCUGAUUCUAAGACCUUCCUCAUUAUUCAAACCACUAUUCAUUCACAUGAAUACCAACAGCAACACUUGAUGGCUUGGAAGAUUUUCAUCCUCGCAGAUCAUGAAAAGCUUCAAAGUACUUGGUAUUUAUCACCUAUGCUAAGGAUUUAUGAACAUCUAAGUGUUAUACUUCUAGCCACUGAAUUCUGGAGGAAAGUCUCCUGCCUGAGUUUCUCCUGGUGAAGGACCACACUUGGGCAUAAGACUAAGACCACACAGGGGGAAAUUCGGGGCAGAGGCGACUCCAUGAUGGCAAUGAAGAAGUGCGAGCUUUGACAAGCCCUUGACCUAAGCCACACUUUUAAAAGAAAUAGAGGAGUGAUACCAUGAAAGACAAGAUGAUC